rnacentral:rRNA from 1 species
CUGGAGGUAUCAGAAGUGCGAAUGCUGACAUAAGUAACGAUAAAGCGGGUGAAAAGCCCGCUCGCCGGAAGACCAAGGGUUCCUGUCCAACGUUAAUCGGGGCAGGGUGAGUCGACCCCUAAGGCGAGGCCGAAAGGCGUAGUCGAUGGGAAACGGGUUAAUAUUCCCGUACUUGGUGUUACUGCGAAGGGGGGACGGAGAAGGCUAUGUUGGCCGGGCGACGGUUGUCCCGGUUUAAGCGUGUAGGUGUGUGUUCCAGGUAAAUCCGGUUCACUUUAACACUGAGGCGUGAUGACGAGGCACUACGGUGCUGAAGCAACAAAUGCCCUGCUUCCAGGAAAAGCCUCUAAGCAUCAGGUAACAUCAAAUCGUACCCCAAACCGACACAGGUGGUCAGGUAGAGAAUACCAAGGCGCUUGAGAGAACUCGGGUGAAGGAACUAGGCAAAAUGGUGCCGUAACUUCGGGAGAAGGCACGCUGACACGUAGGUGAAGUGAUUUACUCAUGGAGCUGAAGUCAGUCGAAGAUACCAGCUGGCUGCAACUGUUUAUUAAAAACACAGCACUGUGCAAACACGAAAGUGGACGUAUACGGUGUGACGCCUGCCCGGUGCCGGAAGGUUAAUUGAUGGGGUCAGCGCAAGCGAAGCUCCUGAUCGAAGCCCCGGUAAACGGCGGCCGUAACUAUAACGGUCCUAAGGUAGCGAAAUUCCUUGUCGGGUAAGUUCCGACCUGCACGAAUGGCGUAAUGAUGGCCAGGCUGUCUCCACCCGAGACUCAGUGAAAUUGAACUCGCUGUGAAGAUGCAGUGUACCCGCGGCAAGACGGAAAGACCCCGUGAACCUUUACUAUAGCUUGACACUGAACAUUGAGCCUUGAUGUGUAGGAUAGGUGGGAGGCUUUGAAGUGUGGACGCCAGUCUGCAUGGAGCCGGCCUUGAAAUACCACCCUUUAAUGUUUGAUGUUCUAACGUGGACCCGUGAUCCGGGUUGCGGACAGUGUCUGGUGGGUAGUUUGACUGGGGCGGUCUCCUCCUAAAGAGUAACGGAGGAGCACGAAGGUUGGCUAAUCCUGGUCGGACAUCAGGAGGUUAGUGCAAUGGCAUAAGCCAGCUUGACUGCGAGCGUGACGGC